rnacentral:rRNA from 1 species
GACGAACGCUGGCGGCGCGCUUAACACAUGCAAGUCGAGCGAAUCGGCGGACGGGUGAGUAACACGUGAGUAACCUGCCUUAGACAUUUGGAUAGCCUCGGGAAACCGGGAUUAAUACCAAAUGGUCUAAGAUGGACUCGCGUCCCAUUAGCUAGUUGGUGGGUAACGUACCAACAAGGCGACGCUGGGUAGCCGGCCUGAUAGGGUGAACGGCCACAGUGGAACUGAGAAAUGGUCCAAACUCUACGGGAGGCAGCAGUGGGGAAUAUUGCACAAUGGAGGGAACUCUGAUGCAGCGACGCCGCGUGAACGAAGAAGGCUUUCUAGUCGUAAAGUUCUUUUAUAUGGGAAGCGGUACCAUAAGAAAAAGCCCCGGCUAACUACGUGCCAGCAGCCGCGGUAAUUC